ACUUUAUUAUAGAAAAGUCCCAAAGUGUGCAUGCAGGGAUGGGUAGGGGGCACACAGCCAGGGGACCUGGAGGAUUGACCCAUAGUUCUGAAGCAGCAGACAGGGAGGCACUUGCUGAUGAGACUGAAAAGGUGAGAGAAAUGGGAGCUCUGAUUGCACUCUGGGUUAUGACAGCCUGACAUCCUGUCCAUCGCUAACUGGUCAGACUGAUUUCGGGACUAUCGGGGUCUGAACACAACUGGAGGUAAGUUCUAACACAAUCCUUGCUCAUUUUACAUUCAAGGAAGAGACGACACAGAGCAGCAAAGUAACUUGGCCAAAGGCACACAGCCAGUGAAAGGUGGACCGAGGUUGUGCCUUGAGAGCUCAUGCCUCACCAUGAAGCCAUCUUUGUCUCCUGGCUCCCUCACUUGAGAAGCAGGCACACCAUUCUUCCCUGAUUCUGCAACCUACCUGGAAGAAGAGCUAAGUGUGAACAUAUUAACCCAAAGUCAGAGUCCAGAAGGAGGCUCAGGCUGGGAGCCCUGAAGAGACCAUUGGUUGCUAGGGCUGCAGCUCAUAUUGGCCCUCCGUGGCUGUGUAGAAGUCCUCCAACACCGACUGCAGGAACUCAAAGCUUUCCAACAUCCACUGCCAUCUCUACCUUCCUAAUAAAUAGAACUACCCUACUCCAUCAUGGCGGCCCAGAAUUGGAACUACAUUUCCCAGACUCCCUUGCAGCCAAGGGAGCCUCUCAUUGAGGUGAGUGGGAGGGAUGUGUCUCUAGAGGAAAGGAGGUGGGAUUUUUAUCACCAUCAUCUUGCUGGCUAAGGGUCAAGGGUGGGUGAUGAAGCUUCAGCAUCUACCAUGCUAUCAGGGCAGAGGACAUCAGUGAGUAAAGUCUCUCAUCUGUUCUCUAGGGGUUUAUAUAUUUAGAGGUCGCUACUUCAGGCUUUCUGCCCUUCACAGUUGAGCACAGCCUCCUACCAGGGAAUUCAGUACAGUCACAAAGCACAGAGUGGGGCGCCCCCCCCCUUCAGGCUCCCGCUCUGCUUCAGAGCUCACCAACCUGGGCUGACAUGUCAAUCAGCCUUGGAAGGGACAACCUGCUACCUUCAUCGGUCUUCAGAAAAUCCAGCAAGCAUCCUAGGAGAAGAAAGACAGCAACUGCAAAGUGACUGGAUGGAGCCUGGCUCUGAUUGCGUGGUCUGUGUCUAUGUGAGGAGGUAGGGGUGGUGAUCUGCCUACAGCUGAGGUGCCUCAGGCUUCAGGGAAACACUAGCUCCCAGACUUUUAAAAGUUAGUUCUCAG
rnacentral:lncRNA from 1 species